rnacentral:lncRNA from 1 species
CGUGGGGUUCCCAUUGCCUUGAGAGUUUUCUUCUGUGUCUGAAGUGUCGUGCUGGCCAGGCUGUCACCUUCCUGUGGGACAGUGGCCUCUGUCAUGCUUUCUAGGUGAGGAAGAUCUUGAAGAUCUGGGGGCUUUGGCAUCCCCAGCCGCAGGUCCUGUGACUCCCAGCUCCUCUCCACAUCACUGAUGCUGACGCACAGAGUCCUGGUCCAGGGCCAGGUGGUCAUGGGCUGUUGCCUGGCAACCGCUUCUGAGCAACAAGUUCAAGGACUGGCACCCAGCUGGCAGGACCCCAGGAAGUGGACUGCGCUGCCUCCCCCACCAGUAUGUCUCAGCCCCGAUGAACCUAUGCUCAAGCUGAAUGGGGACCCUACAGGAACCUCGGAGGACCCAUGAGCCCCCAAAUUCCAGGUGAAAAUGUGUCUGCAAGUCACAUGUGGGGUGCACGCUGAAAUCCCAGGACUUUGGGAGGCUGAGACAAGAGGAUUGCAGGUUGGAGACCAGCCUGGGCAACUGAGUGACUCAUCAAGAUCCUGUCUUAAAAUAAAAAAAUAAAAAGAAGUGGGGAUGUAGCUGAGAGCAAAGGCCCUGAGUCUAAUCCCAAAACAAAAC